rnacentral:rRNA from 1 species
UACGUAGGGUGCGAGCGUUAAUCGGAAUUACUGGGCGUAAAGCGUGCGCAGGCGGCCCGCGAGGUGUCACGUGAAAGCCCCGGGCUCAACUCGGGAGGGUCGUGGCAAACCGGCGGGCUUGAGGCCGGUAGAGGUGGGUGGAACUCCUGGUGGAGUGGUGAAAUGCGUAGAGAUCAGGAAGAACACCCGUGGCGAAGGCGGCCCACUGGGCCGGUGCUGACGCUGAGGCGCGAAGGCGUGGGGAGCGAACAGG